UGUCGAGAUGUUGAUGUGAAUUUGUCUGUGUUUAGACAUCCUGAAUAAGCUUUGCUGUCAAUGUGGGUUUGUGGAAACAGAUGACCUACAAUGGAUUGCCUGCAAUAGUUGCAACAAGUGGUUCCAUCAGGGAUGCGUCAACUCUCCAGCAGUGGACAAAGAAUAGGAAUGUGUUGUGUGCAUUGUCUAAAGUGUUUUCAUUAUUUUAUUUUUAUUUCAUUGUGUUGAAAUGCCCUUUUUUAUACUUUUAUUUAUAUUUUUUGCUGUAUGUUCAAUUGAUCUUUUUAAAACUGUACAUAGUUCCAUGUUGACUUUUUAUUAAAUUAUUUGAAUUAAAUUGCUUUUGCCUAAUUAAUUACUGUAGCAUAAAUUGUUUUACUUAUUAUAUGUAUGUGCGAAUUAUAUUUGACCCAUAUUACAUGUUUGAUUUAAAUAUUAAAAUGUAAUAGAUCUGACAAUUUUUUUCAAAACACAUAACUUUAUCUGGCAUAAAAUAUUUGUAUGUGUUUUAUUUGAAACUGCAAUAAAUUGUCCUUCCACUGUUA
ensembl:lncRNA